GAUGAACGCUGGCGGCGUGCCUAAUACAUGCAAGUCGAGCGAACGGACGAGAAGCUUGCUUCUCUGAUGUUAGCGGCGGACGGGUGAGUAACACGUGGAUAACCUACCUAUAAGACUGGGAUAACUUCGGGAAACCGGAGCUAAUACCGGAUAAUAUUUUGAACCGCAUGGUUCAAAAGUGAAAGACGGUCUUGCUGUCACUUAUAGAUGGAUCCGCGCUGCAUUAGCUAGUUGGUAAGGUAACGGCUUACCAAGGCAACGAUGCAUAGCCGACCUGAGAGGGUGAUCGGCCACACUGGAACUGGGACACGGUCCGGACUCCUACGGGAGGCAGCAGUAGGGAAUCUUCCGCAAUGGGCGAAAGCCUGACGGAGCAACGCCGCGUGAGUGAUGAAGGUCUUCGGAUCGUAAAACUCUGUUAUUAGGGAAGAACAUAUGUGUAAGUAACUGUGCACAUCUUGACGGUACCUAAUCAGAAAGCCACGGCUAACUACGUG
rnacentral:rRNA from 1 species